CCCACCGGGUUAACCGGGUAAGGGCCCUGGUAGACAACCAGGUUGAUAGGCCGCAGGUGUAAGGGGAGCAAUCCCUUGAGCUGAGCGGUACUAAGAGCCCGAGGGCUUGUUCACCUAUAAC
rnacentral:rRNA from 1 species